rnacentral:rRNA from 1 species
AUUGAACGCUGGCGGCAUGCUUUACACAUGCAAGUCGAACGGUAACAGGUCUUCGGAUGCUGACGAGUGGCGAACGGGUGAGUAAUGUAUCGGAACGUGCCCAGUAGUGGGGGAUAACUACUCGAAAGAGUGGCUAAUACCGCAUGAGAACUGAGGUUGAAAGCGGGGGGACCUUCGGGCCUCGCGCUACUGGAGCGGCCGAUAUCAGAUUAGGUAGUUGGUGGGGUAAAGGCCUACCAAGCCGACGAUCUGUAGCUGGUCUGAGAGGACGACCAGCCACACUGGGACUGAGACACGGCCCAGACUCCUACGGAGGCAGCAUGGGGAAUUUUGGACAAUGGACGCGAAGUCUGAUCCAGCAAUGCCGCGUGCAGGACGAAGGCCUCGG